rnacentral:tRNA from 1 species
GCCCCCAUAGUUGAAUCACAACAAAAGCUUUUCAAGCUUUAAAUUUGAGUUAGAAUCUCAAUGGGAGCU